rnacentral:rRNA from 1 species
GACGUACCACCCAAACGUUAUUCGGAAUCACUGGGCUUAAAGAGUCCGUAGGCGGCUAGGAAAGUUGGGUGUGAAAUACCUCAGCUCAACUGAGGAAUUGCGCUCAAAACUACCUGGCUCGAGAAAGACAGAGGUAAGCGGAACUGAUGGUGGAGCGGUGAAAUGCGUUGAUAUCAUCAGGAACACCGGUGGCGAAAGCGGCUUACUGGGUCUUUUCUGACGCUGAGGGACGAAAGCUAGGGGAGCGAACGGG